GCGAACGGGUGAGUAACACGUGAGUAACCUGCCCUUAACUCUGGGAUAAGCCUGGGAAACUGGGUCUAAUACCGGAUAGGAGCGUCCACCGCAUGGUGGGUGUUGGAAAGAUUUAUCGGUUUUGGAUGGACUCGCGGCCUAUCAGCUUGUUGGUGAGGUAAUGGCUCACCAAGGCGACGACGGGUAGCCGGCCUGAGAGGGUGACCGGCCACACUGGGACUGAGACACGGCCCAGACUCCUACGGGAGGCAGCAGUGGGGAAUAUUGCACAAUGGGCGCAAGCCUGAUGCAGCGACGCCGCGUGAGGGAUGA
rnacentral:rRNA from 1 species